rnacentral:tRNA from 1 species
AAGGAGUUAGUUUAAAAAAACAAUUAUUUGUCAAAUAAUAGAUAUAUAUAUAUAUGUAAAAUAUACACCUUG